rnacentral:ncRNA from 1 species
UUGAUAUCAAAUUUGAGCUUAGCUAGCUGCUACACACACACACACACACACAUAUAUAUAUAUAGCCUAAUCACAUUGAACAACAAAGUUUAGUAAUAGAUCAUUUGAGUUACUGUGAUUUACCUUUCUAUAAAUUGUCGAGCUUGGCUAAUUGCGAGCCAGCAGCCACAGUAAAAUGGGGUGGGCAAGUGUUCUUCAGCAUGACUGGGUGUAAAGGACACGUAGGCGGUGAAUCGGGUUAAAAGUGAAAGUCGCUAAAAAUUGACGGAAUGCUAUCGAAACCAAUUCACUUGAGUGGGAUAGAGGAGAGUGGAAUUUCUUAUGUAAGGGGUGAAAUCCGGAGAUCUAUGAAGGAAUGCCAAAAGCGUUGGCGAAAUACUCUCGAAACCAAUUCACUUGAGUGAGAUAGAGGAGAGUGAAAUUUCCUCUCUGGGUCUCUACCGACACUGAGGUGCGUAAGCAUAGGAGCGAACAAAUUAGAUACCCAUGGACCAUGGCAAUUUCACCUUUGGUCACAAGCUUA